CGCGCCCUGGCAACCCCACGUGCUGCGGAUUAAUGCACUUCCGGCGUGAAGAACGCUUUCUGGAGUGCGGUUGCGGAGGGUGAACUCAAAGGUACCUGGGACUUUCUGGACAGAAGAAGAGCAGCAGAGACUGGAUGAUGGCUCGCACAGCAGACAAACCAAGAAGGAUAUGCCAUCGCUCAUGAUUGCCCAGGAUGAAGUUGAGGCCAACAAUCUGAAAAGGCAGGGAGGAAGCAUGGCAACUGCACAAUACUUAAGGUUCUAUAUGACAGUCUCUCCUCCAGCCCUGCAGCUUGGCCUGUGAAGAUGCUUCAUGGAGAAAGUACAGCCAGGAUCACAGUCAGGUAUUUUCCAUCCACAGUAGCCUUCCAGGAAAGAAGAUCAUAGGGCUUUCUGUUCUCUACAUGAAAGCAAACUCUAGUGCUUUUAUGAUAUGAACUUUGGACACAGCUUAUUGUUUUGAUGUUGAAGUAAAAGGAGCAUAUAGUUCUAUAGCUUUUUUCAAUGCCAGAACUCUGUUAUUGUUUAUUUUCCUUCUUUUAUUAAUUCAUCCGAUAAAUACAUCUACUGUUUGUCAGCUGUUCUACGAAGGAUUGGAGCGAGGCCAAUGACCAAAGUAGACACUGAUAAGCUCUAUGAAAAGCAAUAAAGCAGAAAAUGAGGGAGCAAUUACAGAUUGUAUAUGUCUCUGACAGUAAAGGAAUAUUUGUGUGGGACCUAAAGGAAAGGAGGAGCAAGUCACACAGAGGUGUGGGAGAAGAGAUGCCCAGACAGAGGAAGCAGCCAGGGCUAAGACCCUGAGACAAGAGCACUCUUCAGGAGUGUUCUGGAUAAAGCAAGGGCAGUGUGUUGGAGCAAAUGAACUAGAGAGACAGUAGAUGGGGUCAGAGAAGUGGUAGUAGUGGUUGGAGUUGGGGCAAAGGAUUGGUCAGAUUUAUGAGGGCUUUAGAGAGAGUGUAAGGAGUGGGAGUUGGGAAGACAUUACUGACCUGAGCAGAAAAGUGCCAUAACCUGUGUAUGUUUUUAAAAGUGUUGGGGCACCUGGGUGGGCUCAGUGGGUUAAGCCUCUGCCUUCGGCUCAGGUCAUGAUCUCAGGGUCCUGGGAUUGAGCCCUGCAUCAGGCUCUCUGCUCAGCGAGGAGCCUGCUUCCCCCCUCUCUCUGCCUGCCUCCCUGCCUACUUGUGAUCUCUGUCUGUCAAAUAAAUACAAUCAUUAAAAAAAAAAAAAAAAAAGUGUCAUCCCAGGCAAGAUGUAGCAUGGACUCAUAUCAUGGAUUGUAGAUAUAUUCUGAAGCAAGGAAAAACAAAUCCCCCUCCCCCCAUGGAUUAUAUGUGGUAUUUAAAAGAAAAUUUAAAGGUAACUAUAAGAUUUUCUGGUCUGGAAGAAUGGAGUUGUUUACUGACAUAGGACAUAUGUGAUGGGAGUAGAAUGGUGGGUGGGGGAGCAAAUUAGUUUAGUUUUGGAUAUGUUGAGUUGGAGAUCACAACUACAUACCCAAGUGAAGAUAUCAAGUAGGAAGUCAGACAUAGAACUCUGGCAUUCAGGAAAGAGGUUAGAGCUGGAGUCAAAAAUGUGGGUGUUUCAGUGGAUAGAGUCCCAACACUGGAAAAGAUCAUUUAGAGAGGGAAUGUUCAGGGCUGGGCACUCCAGGAACUUGGCAAUGGAGACCAAGAAAGAUUGGCUAGAGACAUGAGAGAACAGGAGGGAUAUUCCAGAGCUGAGGAAGUAUUUCAGGAAGUUUUUAUUCACUGUGUUCAAGACUGCAGCAAAGUCAAAAGCAUAAAGCCAGAAACCCAACCAUUGCAUUUAACAGCAUGGAGAUCACAUUUUUCUCAGCAAUAUCUAUUAUGGUGGGGAUGAAAGCCUGAUUUAAGUUGGUACAAGAGACCAAGGGGGGGGCGGUUUGCUGAAGACAGUAAGUAUACAUAUUUCCCUCUGACGGGUUUUGCUGUGAAGGGGAGCAGAUAAAUACGAUGGUAGAGUAAGGUGGUCAAGGUGAGUGUUUGUAAAAUAAGAGAUAGCAGCAUGAAUGUCAUGAAAUCCUCCAGUGGGAUGGGGGAAAGUGGUGAAUCAGGAGAGGGAAGGAAUUGUUGGGCCAGUGGCCUUUGUUAGGGGAGUUUGCAGGGGAGGUACCCAGAGCAAAUAGGAGGAGCCACCCACUUUGAAUUAAGUGUAGUAAUUGGUAGUAUGUUUCACUGGACAAGAGCAGGAAACUGAGAAACCCGGGUAUUUCCAGGCUUGUCCAAGUGGAUAAUGAAUCCACCAAGCAUUAAGGAGGGGUGGUGUCGGAGCCGGUGACGGUGAGUCAAAACCUGAAAAUACUUAAGCACUGCGAGGGAGGGCUGGAAGGGAAGUAGGACUUUGUAGGUUGAUGGCAAGAGUUUUAAAGCGUUGCGUGUUUAGGAGGGACGGAGAAUAGUCUGGAAGUGGCAAUGAGGAACAAGCAGGCAUCCUGCAACUAUUAAUGCUUUAUUACUCACAUUUUGACAGAGAUAACAUAAUAUAUCCCAAGGCGUGGCAGUGACUCUAUGGGAAAACCCUGGCUUAGAACCCACCAAAUCAUUUCUAACUAUUGCUCAGAACAACUAUGCACAAAAACUGAAGGCUUUUUGUAUGCAGGAAAGAAAUACUGGAAAGUACCCAAAAGGUUCAGACUAGAAAAUAUGCCAAGAAUAUUUUCUUUUAUACCUUAACACAGGUAAGACUUACCCAGUUUGAGCAUAUUUUUGACAAUGUGAAACACUUUAGAAAACUGAAGAUUUCAACAAUGUAGACACUUGUAGGCAUAGCAGAAUGACAGCCUCCCUUCCCAAUCUUGUAAACUUGGCAUCUCUAUGGUUCUGCUGACAUCGUAAAUAAGAACGCUAAAAUGCACAAAAAUAGUUUCACAACAUCCAAUUUUAAAGUUCAUCCGAGCUGUCAUCUUUUUUCCCCCUUGCUGUGAUUUCUUGCUGUCACCUAACAGUUGAAAUUCUGAUUCAGGGUAAUAACUGAGGUUUUUAUACAAAGCAUGAUACAAUAUUACUAUUCCUCCACACUAACCCCAGGGUAAGAGAUUAAGAGGAAGGUGCAACUGGGGCAUGGACAUUUGCUAUGUACACAGAAUGACCCACUGCUGGAAACAAAAACUCACCUCUCCACCAGCCUUUGCUCCGGCUCAGUAGUGCGAUGCCUCCCACUGAUGGUAAAAAUAAACCAUCAAAACCAAACCCUCGUGAGGAGUUGAGUUAGUUUGAAGAUACCUAUGCAAAGUCAAAACUCUGUAAUCUUUAGAACAUUUCUAUUUCUAACUGUGUUGCUUAGUCUUCAUCCAAAUGUUUGGCCUCGUGGACACAGAGUCCAAGAUUUUGAUCUGAAUUUAAAAUAUCUCAAAAAACGUAUCCAGGGACUUCUGUUUAAAAACACACUUCUGUGGGGAUUUUAGUUUUGCCGCAUUCUGGCACUUCCUGGAAUGGCAGGCCUACAAUUAAGUUUGCAACAGAGAGUUAGGGUCCCCUACAGUUUAACACUAUGCCAUUUUUUUGAAUCUUCUCGUUGCCCGUGGAAAACUUCCCAGAACAAUGAUACAGUAUGGAACUCAAACAACACUUGAAAAAUGCUUGGUAGAAAUGUACCAAUGGUCAGUUUUGAACCUGAAAGUUCUCAAUGGAUUUUCUUCUUUGCUGGGGCUUCUGAGAAGAGUUCAGUUUAUACCAUUUUGAGGCCCACGAAAGGACAGCACACCUUAGGGUUCCUGAUACUACUAUACUCAUCAAAGCCAAAAUGUAGUGGCAUUUGAGAAAUAUUAGCAGGUAGAUGAAAUCACAUUUAGAUUUUUGGAUUUUUACAUUGUGACUAUGUAGUCUCAAGGGAGACCAGUUAUAGAUUUGUUUGUUAUGCUUCAUUUGAUUUGGUCAGAUUCAGACUUUUGAGGAAUGAACUAAAAGAUAACUGAUCAUUCACAGAAACUGUUGAGAGGGCCAGAACUUAGUAUCAGAAAGGAUUUGGGAACAUCAGGGGCUUGGGAAGAUGAUUCAGAAUUGUUACCAGUGUGUUGUGGUUAUUUUUCUGUUUUCCUCCAGUGGGUUAAAAAAAAAAUUUUUUUUUCUUUCUUAAAAAUAAGGUAGCACAUUUCAUAUCUUAAAGCGAUCAGCACAAAUGCAGUGAUGCCUGUUCAAGCAGACUUCCAAGGACAGCACACACUAUCGACACAAAGAGCUCUUCCACAUUUCCAGAAUACAGUGACAAGAACUGGUACACAUAAUAAUAAAGAACCCCCCUCCCCUUUUUUUUUUUUUAACUUCAUGGAAUGGGAGGUCAGACUUCAGGCACUUCUUUGUCUGGCAGUGGACAAAACCAAAAGGGUUCCGACCUGAAUUUCACAUCUCUGUCUAAUCUACCGCACAAGAGGGACCAGAGACACCAAUGACCAAUGAGUCACAAGAGCAGACAGAAAACUGUUAGUAAGUCUUGACAACCAGGAAUGAAGAUGCUUUUUAAAAAUAUGUACUUGAUGCCAAGUAUGUAAGAAAUGUAUCUUAGAAAGCAAUGCCAUUGUAUUAGAAAAAUGGAGUCCCUGUCCAGGUGACCUUGUGGGAUUUCAUCUGGACCUUGAUCUAUACUGUUGAAAUAGCUGUAGGUCUUCUUGAAGCAUCAUUUAAGUCUUCAAGAAAAAUAGCGUCAUCUUAUAUAACCAGAGCCAUUGAUUCUGUGUGGAACUCAGUGCAAGCUGUCUGCAUUCAUACCCUGUGCACUGGCAACAGCCAGGGUGUAACCCGCACGGGGAGAACGCUCACUGUUUGAACGGAGAUCUUAGAGGUCUUCUGUUUCUGCAGUAUGGACGCGGGAAUUCACACUAUUUUCCCCCUCACUGGCACCCCAAAAUGAUGGUCACCUGUCAGAACCUGAACCAAGACUAUGGUUUGGGCAGGCUCCACGGAUUUUAUAGUAUGAUGAUCAAUUUAGAGCAGUAAGUCCUGAAAAGAUCUCGAGAAAAUUACUUUGGGGCAAGGGCUCAGUUUCACUUUGUAGAACAACAAAAAUAAAAUGAGCCAAUUCCAUAAACAAAAUCCCCUCUGGGAAGAACUAAAACUAAACACUGAAAACUAAUUAGUUUAAAAAAUUAAAGAAAUUUUUACUAGGGUGCUAUUAAGAUGGACAAAAAGCACAACCCUCCCCCCACCAUUAAAAAAAAAAAGGAAGGAAGAAAGAAGAUUAGCAAACCAGAAAACUGGGAAUUGCUAUGAACCAUAAUAGUCUGAAAUACUCAGCACAACUGGGGUCUCAGUGUGUCAGGCCUAGGGCCUGUCCUGAUGGAAGAGAAUGUAUUUUUGAAGAUAAAAGCUACAGGGAAGUUUUUAGAUAUCUGUUAAGGAACACAGCUUUGUUAGGGGCCCUUUUAAAUUUAGUUUUGCCUUGUACUCCAUGUAAACUAUUUGUACAAAAAUAUAGAAAGGCAUGGCUUGAUGUUUAA